UUGAGCCUUGGGUUGCUGCCUUGCAGGGUCCGUAUUAACAGGAAGCUGGAAUUGGGAGUGGAGCCCACACUCCAACCCAGAUGUCCCCAUUUGGGAUGGGGGAAUCCCACUGUGCUAAACACCCAUCCCAAUCUCAAGGCAGUUUUUAAAGCUGUUUUUAGAAAUAGUUCUUUGACUUGAAGUAGUUAGGGAUUGGUGACCUGGCUCUUCCAUACUUACUGCUUAUAUCUGUGGGCCGUUUAACUACAUUAAACCUCAGGUUUUCCUAAUUAACACUGGGACAAUAUACUUGUCCUCAUGUUGUUGUGAUCUGUAACAUAUAUUAAGUAGCAAGAUGAAAUUAGUAUACUAUUGGCAGCAGGAUAAAAUACCAGUGAUUACCUAGUAAAUGGGCCUGUCACCAACUAAUACAUCAGAUUUGCUGAUUUUUUGUUUGUUUGUUUUUUUGGUAAUUUCUCAGAUUCCUCCUUCAUUUCUGAUUCCGCAGUUGUCAUUUUGCACACCGAAUAAUGGGGAGUCACAUUGAUACUGUUGCCAUGAGGACUUUUUUUAAGCUAGUAAAUGUGCAUCUGUUUCUGAUUUCAGAUUUCUUCUUGUGCUGAAAUUCUAUGAUGUGUAGGUUUAUGACUUUACGUGCCUGCAUGUGCUUCUUUCACUCAUCCUGUACAUCAGUGCUGGAAAAAAUCCCUUUCUAAAAUGAUUUAGGACUCAAUUGCUUUUAGUGGAGCCUCUCUGUGAACAGUUAUCAGAUAUAAACCAUGUAAGUGGAUUUUUAAAAUUUUUCUUCCUAGAAAAUUUGCUGUACAGGUGACAUGAAGAAAUGCCUUGUAAACUAUAAAAUGCCAUAUAGGUGAAGAAAAUAUUAUAAUCAUCCAUAGAUAAUUUUGCUUCUUUGCUUUUACAUAUUUCAUUUUCUUUAUUUAAAUUGCAUUUCUGUUUCCUUGAUGUUUCUUACCUUCAGAAGCAGAAUCAAAGCAGGCAUGUUUUCCAGAAAGCUUGAUUUUACCAUUCUCUUAGCAUCAGUUACUCACUUCUGUGGAAUAUAUCAUCUUACCUUCCUUUCAUCCACCCAUCUCAGAGCCUCAUUUUAGCAUAUGAGAAUGCUUCAAGAAGUUCAUGCAAAUGCCUGUUUUGAAAAAGAACUGCAUGGGUUUCUAAGUUUUUGCACAAAAUAAUUUUUAAAAAUUGUAAAAGUUCUUUCCUGAACUUUCUGUUGCAUGUUGACUUUUUCCUUGUUCGAUUGGACAGUCCCGAGAUGGCAUGAGCCGUAGCAUUCAGAGUGGAGGUGCUUUCAGGGUCAUUCAGAACAACCCCAUGGGCCUGCAGGGGAGGUACCCAAGUCUGGGGACCUGGAUUUGGCUUUGGGGCUUCAUUAGGAGACUCAGCUUUUCUAUUUGAAAGUUAUUAUUAGGAGAUUUAAUAUCGUCAGAAUCUUGGUAAUUUUUUGAGUAAUGUGUAAGCUCAGAAAAAAAAAGUAUAUUUUAAUUUUUGACCAAAAAUUGACUCUCAAAUAUUGUAAAUAGAGUAUUAACCAGGAAUUAAUUGGGCUCAUUCUCAAAAAACUGCUGAAGUACCUGGCGAGAAGUAUCUGUUUUCCUGUAGGGCCUGCAUUUGCAGUUAGCAAAUAUUGAUUGAGCACUGUGUCUUCCACAGGUGCUAUGCUAACUCUGCGCCUCUUGUGUUUUAUAAACAAGCAGGCAUGGCUGAGAGAAGCCUCCCAGAGCUCGCGUUGGUGAUGACUGUUGAAUGGUUGUUGAAACGUUGACCAGGCACGUAGGACCAGGAUGUCCAGAUCCACGUUCAUCCACAAGGCUUGGAUUUCCUCCAGUUUAACUUAUAAAGUCGUUGAUCCUGAAGUUUGUGCCCCUUGGGCUUUCUUUCUGAAGGCAAUC